rnacentral:rRNA from 1 species
GACGUAGGGCGCGAGCGUUGUCCGGAUUUACUGGGCGUAAAGAGCUCGUAGGCGGUCUGUCGCGUCGGCUGUGAAAACCCGGGGCUCAACCCCGGGCCUGCAGUCGAUACGGGCAGACUAGAGUGCGGUAGGGGAGACUGGAAUUCCUGGUGUAGCGGUGAAAUGCGCAGAUAUCAGGAGGAACACCGGUGGCGAAGGCGGGUCUCUGGGCCGUAACUGACGCUGAGGAGCGAAAGCGUGGGGAGCGAACAGG